CAAAGAUGAUUUGCCAGAUCCCGACUCCCCUGUGAUGGCGAUAUUGAACUUAAUGCCUGACAAAUUCUUAAAGUUCUGCACCACAGAAGCUGCUUCCAAGAAGUUUCCUGCUUUGAUAGCAGCCUCGAUCUGUUUAGCUUGUCCUGCAGAGAUGCCAGGAAGAAUAUUUCUAUAUUCUGCAUAUAGGUCAUCACAGGUCCAAGUCCACUUUGGAGCGCACAAAAUAAAAGUUCUUUCCCAUCCUGGUGAUCUCCCGGGCCAGCUCGGUGUGGCAGAAUCUGCUCCUCUCUGAAACAAUGAUGAUGAAGACAUCGUAACGGCUGAACUUCACUUGUUUCAGAUAAACGUCUGGCUGAAAAUCUGGGGUCCCGAUCAUCGCACAUCGGUCUCAGCAGCACCUUCGUCUUCAUCUCCCAGGCCCCGGAUGGCAUUGAUCAAAGAUGAUUUGCCAGAUCCUGACUCCCCCGUGACAGCGAUAUUGAACUCAAUGCCUGACAAAUUCUUAAAUGUCUGCA